AGCCAUAUUUUCUGCUCUUAAGAAUCUUCAAGAUAAGAUUCGACGCUUGGAACUUGAGAGGAUUCAGGCAGAAGAAAGUGUGAAAACCUUGUCUAGAGAAACAAUUGAAUAUAAGAAAGUACUGGAUGAACAGAUACAAGAAAGGGAGAAUUCAAAGAAUGAGGAAUCAAAGCACAAUCAAGAACUGACAUCUCAGUUGUUAGCUGCAGAAAAUAAAUGCAAUCUAUUAGAAAAACAAUUGGAAUACAUGCGAAAUAUGAUAAAGCAUGCCGAAAUGGAGAGGACAUCUGUCUUAGAGAAACAAUUGAUCAAAUCCAUGGAUGCAAAACACACAGAUACAGAGGGCUUACCGUGUAUGCUUUCUACCCUCAGUCAGCUUUCAGUUCUCAUUGGAGAGAAUUAGACUUAAAUAUUUGAGCAAUCAUACAACAGUAUUUGAGAAGAUGU
rnacentral:lncRNA from 1 species